GGCCUGGUAGCUCAAUGGAUAGAGCAGUUCCGUCCUAAGGAAAAGGUUGUAAGUUCGACUCUUACCCAGGUCACCA
rnacentral:tRNA from 1 species